UACGUAGGGGGCGAGCGUUGUCCGGAUUUAUUGGGCGUAAAGAGCUCGUAGGCGGUUCGAUAAGUCGGACGUGAAAUCUCCACGCUCAAUGUGGAGGGGCCGUUCGAUACUGUCGUGACUCGAGUCCGGUAGGGGAGUGUGGAAUUCCCGGUGUAGCGGUGAAAUGCGCAGAGAUCGGGAGGAACACCCGUAGCGAAGGCGGCACUCUGGGCCGGUACUGACGCUGAGGAGCGAAAGCGUGGGGAGCAAACAGG
rnacentral:rRNA from 1 species